rnacentral:lncRNA from 1 species
GGUGUAUUUCUUGUAAAUUUUGGAGAAAAAAGUUAGAUGCUUUUACGGAGAUAAAUGGUGGGAUAUGAAAAAAUAUUGACUUUAGUGAUAAUGCCCGAUCCGACCCGAAAAUUCGAACAUUUGAGUUGACCAAAACUUAAACACCUAAAAAGUGAACCCAGUGAAAAAAAUUUCUGGAUCCGCCACUGCUUGAAAGCAAGAUUCCCUAUAUUAAAGAGGAUGACAUCAUUUUCCAUUGCAUGUUUCGCGCUACAUAAUUUUAUAAGGAAAGAGG